GGGGAUAUAGCUCAGUUGGUUGAGUGCUUGCCUCACAUGCACCAAGAUCCUGGGUUCAAUCCCCCGUGCCACCA
rnacentral:tRNA from 1 species